GCCAUGGUGUUUCAGUGGUAGAAUUCUCACCUUCCAUGAGGGAGACUGGGGUUUGAUUCCUCGCCAAUGUA
rnacentral:tRNA from 1 species